rnacentral:lncRNA from 1 species
GGAGGGGCUUUUUUCCUCUUGCCUUUGAGACAAGGGGGCGGACGAGCACAAUUCCACUAAGAGCCCCACUGGCCGCCCUCAGACACAGUUGCUAUCUGGAUUAUUAGUUCCUUCCAGAAAAGGGGAUUUUUCUUUUCUGGUACAGAGCUGUUUUUGUUGACCGGACUGGGCUCUUCACGCCUGAAUGAUAAAAGCAGAGUGACAGUGGCAGACAGACACUCUUGUACCGCUGAGCCCUGAUUGGAUGAGCCAGCCAGUGCUGAAAUAGUGCCUGCUCACUGAACGUCCCAAACUGCUGCCCUUGCGCUUAGGAUCAAGCCGGAGAGGGGAAACAGAGGAAGACGGGCCUUCAGGAAAGAAAACGGACUGUUUAUUCCAGGAAACCACAGGGCCCCCGGCGUGUGGAAAAGGAAAGAUUUCACCUCACCAGAGGGGUGAAGAUGAUGACUAAGAAAGUGAGAUUUAAGGUAUGUCCUCCAAGGCACAGCUGUGCUGUAGUUUCCACCACUAGAUCAAUUGUUU